GCGCCCGUAGCUCAGUCCGGAUAGAGCAUUGGCCUCCGGAGCCAAGGGUCAGAGGUUCAAAUCCUCUCGGGCGCUCCA
rnacentral:tRNA from 1 species